ensembl:snoRNA SNORA70 Small nucleolar RNA SNORA70
CUGCAGCCAAUUAAGCCGACCGUCCUCCUCCUCGUGGGGGCCGGUGUGCAAUGGCUGCAUACAGCAAGCCUCCUUGGUAGUGUAUGCAGCCUAUUGGUAUGUAUAGGCUGCCCUAAGGGACCUUGGAGACAACC